rnacentral:rRNA from 1 species
AAUCAACGCUGGCGGCGUGCCUCAGACAUGCAAGUCGAACGCGAAAGUUCCCUUCGGGGAGCAAGUAGAGUGGCGCACGGGUGAGUAACACGUAGGUAAUUUGCCUUCGGGUGGGGAAUAACAGUCGGAAACGACUGCUAAUACCGCAUAAUGCAGCGGCUCGACAUCGAGACAGUUGUUAAAGCGGGGGAGUCCUUCGGGACCUCGCGCCUGAAGAGAAGCCUGCGGCAGAUUAGCUAGUUGGUGAGGUAAUGGCCCACCAAGGCUACGAUCUGUAACCGGCCUGAGAGGGCGGUCGGUCACACUGACACUGACAUACGGGUCAGACUCCUACGGGAGGCAGCAGUCGGG